rnacentral:rRNA from 1 species
CCUACGGGUGGCAGCAGUGAGGACUAUUGGUCAAUGGACGAGAGUCUGAACCAGCCAAGUAGCGUGAAGGAUGACUGCCCUAUGGGUUGUAAAAUUCUUUUAUAAAGGAAUAAAACGAGGCACGUGUGCCUGUUUGCAUGUACUUUCUGAAUAAGGAUCGGCUAACUCGGUGCCAGCAGCCGCGGUAAUACGGAGGAUCCGAGCUUUAUCCGGAUUUAUUGGGUUUAAAGGUAGCUUAGAUGGGUUGUUAAGUCAGUUGUGAAAGUGUGCGGCUCAACCGUAAAAUUGCAAUUGAUACUGGCAGUCUUGAGUACAGUUGAGGUAGGCGGAAUUCGUGGUGUAGCGGUGAAAUGCUGAGAUAUCACGAAGAACCCCGAUUGCGAAGGCAGCUUACUAACCUGUGACUGACAUUGAUGCUCGAAAGUGUGGGUAUCAAAUAGGAUUAGAUACACUAGUAGUC